UCACCCAACCCUUCAAUGCGCGGUACAUGCUCUGACACUAUUAAAUUACAGAAAAUAGUUAUUAUAAUAUAAUUUAUUUUUGUAAAUGAUGUAGAACUUUCUUUAAGGGAACCCGUGAUUAAAAAAUAACAAUAUAUUGCCAUAUUAUUAACUGUGUUUGAUAUAUGGUCAUUGUUCUUAAUCAAUGAACCCAUUGCGAUACCUACAAUUUCAAAACAAAUUUCGAUAAUUAAUUUCUAAGUUUGAUGCAUUUUAAAUAUUUAUCAAAGUACCUAAAUUUUAUAUAUUGCUUUUAAUUACAAAUAAUACCAAACAGUUUUGUCC
rnacentral:lncRNA from 1 species